AGUGAACGUUGGCGGCGUGGAUUAGGCAUGCAAGUCGAGCGAGAACCGUAGCAAUACGGGGACAGCGGCGAAAGGGACAGUAAUGUGUAGGUACCUACCACGAGGUCUGGGAUAGCUGCGGGAAACUGCAGGUAAUACCGGAUAAUGUCUUCGGACCAAAGGUGUGAUUCCACCUUGGGGGGGGCCUGCAUCCUAUUAGCUAGUUGGCGGGGUAAUGGCCCACCAAGGCAACGAUGGGUAGCGGGUGUGCGAGCACGACCCGCGUCAUUGGGACUGAGAUACUGCCCAGACACCUACGGGUGGCUGCAGUCGAGGAUCUUCGGCAAUGGGCGAAAGCCUGACCGAGCGACGCCGCGUGCGGGAUGAAGGCCUUCGGGUUGUAAACCGCUGUCGUAGAGGAGGAAAUGCAGGGGGGUUCUCCCUUCUGUUUGACCUAUUCUAGGAGGAAGGACGGGCUAAGUUCGUGCCAGCCGCCGCAGUAA
rnacentral:rRNA from 1 species